rnacentral:rRNA from 1 species
CCUACGGGCGGCAGCAGUGGGGAAUAUUGCACAAUGGGGGAAACCCUGAUGCAGCGACGCCGUGUGAGUGAAGAAGUAUUUCGGUAUGUAAAGCUCUAUCAGCAGGGAAGAAAAUGACGGUACCUGACUAAGAAGCCCCGGCUAACUACGUGCCAGCAGCCGCGGUAAUACGUAGGGGGCAAGCGUUAUCCGGAUUUACUGGGUGUAAAGGGAGCGUAGACGGCCAGACAAGUCAGAAGGGAAAGCCCAGGGGUAAACCCGGGGACUGCUUUUGAAACUGCCGGGCUGGAGUGCAGGAGAGGUAAGCGGAAUUCCUAGUGUAGCGGUGAAAUGCGGAGAGAUUAGGAGGAACACCAGGGGCGAAGGCGGCUUACUGGACUGUAACUGACGUUGAGGCUCGAAAGCGUGGGGAGCAAACAGGAUUAGAUACCCGGGUAGUC